GACAGAGGGGGCAAGCGUUGUCCGGAGUUACUGGGCGUAAAGCGCGCGUAGGCGGUACAGUAAGUAAGGUGUGAAAGCCCCAGGCUUAACCUGGGGAGGUCAUCUUCGACUGCCGCACUCGAGUCGUGCAGAGGGUGGUGGAAUUGCCGGUGUAGUGGUGAAAUGCGUAGAGAUCGGCAGGAACACCAAGGGCGAAAGCAGCCACCUGGGCACGUACUGACGCUGAGGUGCGAAAGCGUGGGGAGCGAACCGG
rnacentral:rRNA from 1 species